rnacentral:rRNA from 1 species
CCUACGGGGGGCAGCAGUGAGGAAUAUUGGUCAAUGGGCGCGAGUCUGAACCAGCCAAGUAGCGUGAAGGAUGACUGCCCUAUGGGUUGUAAACUUCUUUUAUAAAGGAAUAAAGUGAGGUACGUGUGCCUUUUUGUAUGUACUUUAUGAAUAAGGAUCGGCUAACUCCGUGCCAGCAGCCGCGGUAAUACGGAGGUUCCGAGCGUUAUCCGGAUUUAUUUGGUUUAAAGGGGGCGUAGGUGGGUUGUUAAGUCAGUUGUGGAAUUAUGCGGCUCAACCGUAGAAAUGCAAUUGAUAAUGGCAGACUUGGGUACAGUUGAGGUAAGGGGAAUUGGUGGUGGAACGGUGAAAAGCUU